ensembl:lncRNA
CACACGCACACGCACGCACACACACGCACGCACACACACCACACACACACACACACACACGCACACGCACGCACAUAGCUCUCUUGGCGCUUUGCUUUCACGCUGCUUCUCGGCAGUCGGCGCCUCCUACCUCUUCUGUGGAAGCACCCGCCCAUCGUUAUCUCACACUUAAACAGAAACAGAUAGACGUGUGGAAACCGUGUGUGUGCGCAAAGGGAGCGAGGGGGGGGGGGCAUUGCACAUCCUCCUGCGUUUGUUUACAAUAUCGCAGCACUGGUUCUGGGGCUGGUGCAGCCAGCGUGCUCUUUCUCCCCCAAAGAGCAUGAAAGCCGCUCACAAGCGCUCUUGAUGAAGCAAGAAGGGCUUCAUCUAUAAUGCAUAAGUGGCGCUGCAGAAAAGACCAGCAAAAAUUUCCAGGGAAACCACCUUCUCUGUGUGCUCACAUAUAAACACUCUGCAGUGCCAAAAACGGAACAUCUGGGAAUACCAUUACCUUGCAUGGGGAGGACACUGAGGAGACGGAGUUGGACUCCCAUCGUCUAACUACUCCCAACCAUUCAGUCCUGGCAAAGUGCUCAACAGUGAUGUCAGUGCAUUCCUCCGGCUUCAGAGACAUUCCCCAGGCAGCACCAGUGGGCUUAAAAGGACUUCUCCCACCAAUAAAGCCAGAAUCCUCCCUAAAAGAGUUUCUGUAAACAACAAAAACUCGCAAAACACAAAGAACAUGAAUGCGUAUUACAAAUGACCUCGUCCUCCUACCACACUGCUGGCCGGAUGAAGGCGACAAGAGUCCAGAGGCUGCCGGGAUAUCUGGCUAAAACUUUGAAACAUUGCUGCAAAGCAAACGCCAGAUCAAGUUGUAUUGUUAUUUUCUUUAAGUGGGGUUAAACUGGAGUGUUUUGGCUGUGAC